rnacentral:lncRNA from 1 species
CAUUUAACCUUGCAUAUAAUUAUAUAAAAUGUUACUGCCAUUUUGCAGAUGAGAAAAUAGACUCUGAGAAGGAGAAUGAAAUGCCCAAGAGUCAUCAAGAACAAGCAGCAAAGAAUAUUCCAGACAUUAUUGACAGAGAAGUAGUCAAGUUGGAACAUCAUGGAAGAUCAGUAGAACUAUACUCCAGCACAAGCCUUGAAACUUCAGAAAAUAUAACCAGCAUGAGAGAAAGCAAAGUUUCUUUUCAUCUGUGAAAAUCAACUCAGAGAUACAAAAACUAGGAGAAAGG